GCUCCCGCUGACGGCUAGGCCGGGGCCGAGCGCGCGGCCGGCCAUGGAGGUGGAGGAGGCGUUCCAGGCGGUGGGCGAGAUGGGCAUCUACCAGAUGUACCUGUGCUUCCUGCUGGCGGUGUUGCUGCAGCUCUACGUGGCCACGGAGGCCAUCCUCAUUGCGCUGGUCGGGGCCACACCGUCGUACCACUGGGACCUGGCGGAGCUCCUGCCGAACCAGAGCCACAGCAACCGGUCGGCUGGUGAGGACCAGGCGCUCGGGGCCUGGCUCCUGACGGCCAACGGCAGCGAGAUGCACAAGCACGUGCACUUCAGCAGCAGCUUCACCUCCAUCGCCUCCGAGUGGUUUUUAAUUGCCAACAGAUCUUACAAAGUGAGUGCAGCAAGCUCUUUUUUCUUCAGUGGUGUGUUUGUGGGAGUUAUCUCUUUUGGUCAGCUCUCAGAUCGGUUCGGAAGGAAAAAAGUCUAUCUCACAGGUUUUGCUCUUGACAUCUUAUUUGCUAUCGCAAAUGGGUUUUCCCCCUCGUAUGAGUUCUUUGCAAUAACUCGCUUCCUGGUGGGCGUGAUGAAUGGAGGGAUGUCGCUGGUGGCCUUUGUCCUGCUGAACGAAUGUGUGGGCACCGCCUACUGGGCACUCGCAGGGUCGAUGGGUGGCCUCUUCUUCGCCGUCGGCAUCGCCCAGUACGCCCUGUUGGGAUACUUCAUCCGCUCCUGGAGAACCCUAGCCAUUCUGGUUAACCUGCAGGGAACAGUGGUCUUUCUCUUAUCUUUAUUCAUUCCUGAAUCACCUCGUUGGUUAUACUCCCAGGGUCGACUGCGUGAGGCUGAAGCCGCCCUGCACCUCAUCGCCAAGAGGAACCGCCAGCUCAAGUGUACCUUCUCACUAACACACCCGGCCAACAGGAGCUGCAAGGAGACGGGAAGUUUCCUGGACCUGUUCCGCUACCGGGUCCUCUUGGGGCAUACUCUGACCCUGAUGUUCAUCUGGUUUGUGUGCAGCUUGGUGUAUUAUGGCCUAACUCUGAGUGCAGGUGAUCUAGGUGGAAAUAUUUAUGCCAACUUGGCCCUGUCUGGCCUCAUAGAGAUUCCAUCUUACCCUAUCUGCAUCUACUUGAUUAACCAAAAAUGGUUUGGUCGGAAGCGGACAUUAGCAGCAUUUCUGUGCCUAGGAGGACUGGCUUGUCUUAUUGUCAUGUUUCUUCCAGAAAAGAAAGAUGUGGCACUUGUCCUCCUCAGACACAGGUGUGUUCGCAGUGGUGAACAGCCGCUCCUUGUCCCUGCUGGGGAAGCUGACCAUCAGCGCUGCCUUCAAUGUCGUGUAUAUCUACACCUCGGAACUGUACCCCACGGUCAUCAGGAAUGUUGGGCUUGGAACUUGUUCCAUGUUCUCCAGAGUUGGUGGGAUUAUUGCUCCCUUCAUCCCCUCACUGAAGUACGUGCAGUGGUCUUUACCCUUCAUUGUCUUUGGAGCCACGGGGCUGACCUCAGGCCUCCUGAGUUUAUUAUUGCCAGAAACCCUUAACAGUCCAUUGCUAGAGACGUUUUCUGACCUUCAGGUGUACUCAUAUCGGAGGCUGGGGGAGGAGACGUUAUCUUUACAGACCUUGGAUCCCCCUCAGUCUGUGGACAAGGAGAGCCCGUUAGGGAGUGAGAGUGAGGAAGAGGAAGAGUUUUAUGAUGCGGAUGAAGAGACACAGAUGAUCAAGUGACGUGCCCCAGAUUCCUCCUCAGACGCAGAGGGUCAUCUUCUCUGCCUCCAACGAGGGCAGGUUCUCCCAGGAAACUGAAGGGAGCUGUGGAAAGAUAGGCUUGAACAAACAUCGAAGGUACUCAGUGUGGCCUGAUGUUUUUUAGGCACCAAGGAAGUUGGAGAAGAGAUUUCAAGAAACAGGACAUCACUGCAUCAAGUGAAUAGUUGUUAACUGCCCGCAAUUCGGGUUUAGCUCAAAAUCAUGACCUCUGGCCAGAUUGCUGAAGUCCACAUGCCAGAGUGGCAGAGCUUCCAGAAACCACAGAACAGAAGGCAGUAUGCAGAAGGAAGCCCAUUGAUACAGUCCACACAGCAUAGGUCGAGGAGUGGAUCCGGAGAGGUAAACUGUUCAGCACUGGGAAGCACUUGAAAGAUGGUAAAUAUUUGUCAUGUCAGAUUAGGGUUUUAAAAUUGUAGAAGCUACAAUAUGCUUGCCGGUGAUAAUAUAAUAGGUUCAUUUGUUUCCUAGAGCCACUUUAAUUAUUAGAGAUGCAUUUCACCAUAUAUAGGAUGUUUGCUUUCCUAUUGGCUAUUGCAGAUGGCAUGCACCUAUUUAAUUGUGUAGCAGGAUCAAGUUAUAUGUAAAUGAAUAUAAGAGGGACUCUAACACGUUUUACAUUGCCUGCCACUGGAGUGUGAUCUGCCAAACGACCUCCCUCAACCGCUCUGAUUCUUUCAAUGGGUUCUGAGGAAAUACUAGUAACAUCAAGGGCAGCAUUUCACCAUAUUGAUGAUCUUUCUUAAGGAAACAGGUUGAUGAUGAUCCCCAAAUAUUUUAAAGUCUCACAUCUCCCCCCACUAAUUUCCCUGAAAAUACAAAAUAGAAGAAUGGUGAACUGAAAUGAAUUGUUAUGUCUAUGAUAUGCUUGCCUCUAAUGCAGCAUAGUUAGAUUGGAAAACUUAAUUCUGAAGUUAACAGGGAAGGAAAUUGGUAGAGAGCAGCAGUUCACUUUCAAAUAAUAUCCUUCCCGUACUAUUUAUUGUCAUUAAGUUUUCCAUUAUAGUUUUCUCUGAAUGGAUACUGUAACCAAGAGAGAGGAGGAGGAAGAGGAAGAGUAUUUUGCUUUUACUGGCAGAAUGGCAGCAGAAUAGACGGGUGGUUAAGAAAUGCCAAUCAAACUAACUUUUCCAUAAAGACUCCCAAGACCCUUUUUAGUUUACAUAAGUAAUCGGGCGUUAUACUAGUUUCCUAUUGCUGCUAUAACAAAAUACCACAAACUUUAGACAACACAGAUUUAUUCUAUUACAGUUUUGGAGGUUAGACAACGAAGUGAAUCGUAAGGGGCUAAAAUGAAGAUGUCAGCAGGGCUGUUUUUUCCUGAGUUCUUGGAGGGGGGGUGUUGGGGGAUAUCCAUUCCUUUGUCUCUUGCAGCUUCUGUCUCGAAGCUUCUAGAGUCUGCAGCAUUCCUCGCUCCUGGCCACAUCACUCCAGUCUUGUUGUCUAACACGGCCUUCUACUCGCUCUGACCUUCUGCCUCCCUCUUAUAAGGACCUUUGUGACUACAUCAGGCCUACCCAGAUGAUUCAGGCUCAUCUCCCCAUUUCAAGAUCCUUAAUCACAUCUGCAAAGUCCCUUUUGCCAUAAAAGGUAACAUUCACAGGAUCUGGUGAUUAGCAUGUGGAUAUCUUUGGGGGCCAGUAUUCAGCUUAUCACAGGUGUCCUAAGUGUGUGUCAUUAAAGUUUUCUGAGUAGAUGAGACCUGCUGGAGUCAUCAGUGUAUAAUUGUAAGUUUUAUGGGAAAACCUAGUCAUUAUCAAGAGAAGCUGGACCCAGACCACAGGUAACAGCCUCAAAUCUACUUUUAUUAUUGAGUUUAUAGACCCAGUUGGCUAAGCCUGAAGUCUUCCAGUUACUGUUUGAAAGAAUGAACUGCUUACAAAAGAAUUUGAACCUACUAAGACUUUAUUUCUGAGUUUUAUUUGUUGCUGUAUCUUAACAAUUUCCAGUAGUUUUCUUAUCAAAAUCAAUUGUUAUUAUCUCUACCUUUGUUACAUGCUCUUAAGCAUCCUAUACUUUUCCAUAAUUAUAGUACUUACUGUGUAAUUUAAUAAACGAUGAUGUCUUCCCUACU